CCUACGGGGGGCUGCAGUGGGGGAUCUUGCACAAUGGGCGAAAGCCUGAUGCAGCGACACCGCGUGAGUGCUACGGCCUUCGGGUCUUAAAGCUCUUUUCGGAGGGAAGAAAGCGUCGGAUCGUCCGGCGUAUGACAUGAGCUCCGGAAUAAGCCCCGGCUAACUACGUGCCAGCAGCCGCGGUAAUACGUAGGGGGCGAGCGUUGUCCGGAUUCACUGGGCGUAAAGGGUUCGUAGGCGGCAUGUCAAGUCUCACGUCAAAGCCCCGGGCUCAACCCGGGAGAGGCAUGGGAUACUGGCAAGCUUGAGGACGGAAGAGGCGAGCGGAACGUUGCAAGUAGCGGUGAAAUGCAUUGAUAUGCAACGGAACACCAAUGGCGAAGGCAGCUCGCUGGUCCGUAUCUGACGCUGAGGGACGAAAGCCAGGGUAGCGAACGGGAUUAGAUACCCCAGUAGUC
rnacentral:rRNA from 1 species